GAAAUGCGAUAAGUAAUGCGAAUUGCAGAAUUUCCGUGAGUCAUCGAAUCUUUGAACGCACAUUGCGCUCCUUGGUAUUCCUUGGAGCAUGCCUGUUUGAGUAUCAUGAAAUCUUCAAAGUAAAUCUUUUGUUAACUCAAUUGGUUUCUACUUUGGUAUUGGAGGUCUUUGCAGCUUCACACCUGCUCCUCUUUGUUCAUUAGCUGGAUCUCAGUGUUAUGCUUGGUUCCACUCGGCGUGAUAAGUUAUCUAUCGCUGAGGACACUGUAAAAGGUGGCCAAGGUAAAUGCAGAUGAACCGCUUCUAAUAGUCCAUUGACUUGGACAAUACUUUUAUGAUCUGAUCUCAAAUCAGGUAGGACUACCCGCUGAACUUAAGC
rnacentral:misc_RNA from 1 species